rnacentral:rRNA from 1 species
GCAUAUCAAUAAGCGGAGGAAAAGAAACUAACAAGGAUUCCCCUAGUAACGGCGAGUGAAGCGGGAAGAGCACAAAUUUUAAAUCUACCUGGUUUCCAGGUCGAGUUGUAAUUUGAAGAAGUGUUUUUUACUUUCCGGGUUGGGUUAAAUCCUUUGGGAUAAGGUAUCAUGGAGGGUGAGAAUCCCGUGUAUACCAACCGCAGGAUGUUUAAUAUACACUUUCUAAGAGUCGAGUUGUUUGGGAAUGCAGCUCUAAAUGGGUGGCAAAUUUCACCUAAUGCUAAAUAUAAGCGAGAGACCGAUAGCGAACAAGUACCGUGAGGGAAAGAUGAAAAGAACUUUGAAAAGAGAGUUAAAUAGUACGUGAAAUUGUUGAAAGGGAAACGGUUGAAGUCAGUCAUGCCGGCGGGAAUCAACUUAGGGGAAACUCUGAGUGCACUUCUUCGCUUGGCAGGUUAGCGUCGAUUUUGGAUGUCAUAAAAUGACUGGGGGAAGGUAGCUCUUUCGGGAGUGUUAAGCCCUUAGUAGAUGUGAUGUCUGGGAUCGAGGAUUGCAACGGAUACCUUUUGGGCUAGCCGCCUAGUCUCUAAUACGAAGUUGGGUUAUAGACAGCAUGCUGACUGUGAUCUGAUUUUCGGUUAAAAGAUUAGAGCGAGUGUAAAUUCGUUAAGGACGCUGACGUAAUGGCUUUAAACGAC